rnacentral:rRNA from 1 species
AUCGAACGCUGGCGGCGUGGUUAAAACAUGCAAGUCGAACGCGAAAGUCCCUUCGGGGAGCGAGUAGAGUGGCGGAAGGGCGAGGAAUACAUGGGCAACGUACCGAUGGCAUGGGGAUAGCCCGGGGAAACCUGGGAUAAUACCCGAGAGACCACGGUCCCACAUGAGACAGCGGUCAAAGGUGGGGAUCCCGAGCAAUUGGGGCCUGCCGGCCAUUGAGCGGCCCAUGUCCUAUCAGCUUGUUGGUGAGGUAACGGCUCACCAAGGCUUCGACGGGUACCGGGACUGAGAGGUUGGCCCGGCGCAUUGGCACUGAGACACUGGCCAGACUCCUACGGGAGGCUGCAGUAACGAAUAUUGGGCAAUGGGCGAAAGCCUGACCCAGCGACGCCGCGUGUGGGAUGAAGUCCCUCGGGAUGUAAACCACUGUCAGGGGUUACCAAGCAAUGGGAGUUAAUAGCUCCCGGCGUUGAGGCGCCCCAGAGGAAGCCACGGCUAACUUCGUGCCAGCAGCCGCGGUAAGACGAAGGUGGCAAGCGUUGUUCGGAAUCACUGGGCUUAAAGGGCACGUAGGCGGAUGGUUUAGCGUCUUGUGAAAUCCCUCGGCUCAACCGAGGAAUUGCAGGGCGAACGGGCCGUCUUGAGGCAGGUAAGGGCGUGGGGAACUCUUGGUGGAGCGGUGGAAUGCGUAGAUAUCAAGAGGAACGCCGGUGACGAAGGUGCCGCGCUGGGCCUGUCCUGACGCUGAGGUGCGAAAGCCAGGGGAGCGAACGGGAUUAGAUACCCCGGUAGUCCUGGCCCUAAACGAUGUCCACUAGGUCGGUGGCUCUCUGACGAAUUACUGGCCGAAACAAAAGCGUUAAGUGGACCGCCUGGGGAGACGGUCGCAAGGCU